UUUUUGUUUUUGUUUUUUGUUUUUUUUUUUUUGUUUUUUAGGCAUAAUAUUUCUUCACAUCAUCUGAGUUCACUGGAUUAGGUAAUUCUUUCCCAUCCAUCUCAGAGAGAAUCAGAGCCCCUCCUGAGAAUGCCUUUUUUACAACGUAUGACCCUUCCCAAUUUGGCGACCAUUUUCCUCGAAAGUCUUUUUGUAUCAGGAGGAUCUUUCUUAGUACCAGUUCCCCUUCGUG
rnacentral:lncRNA from 1 species